AAAAUUAAAAUUAGCUCAAAUAAAAAAAUUUCGCUGUGUUUGUAAACGCUACUUCCAACCGGAAAUUUAAAGCCAAACUGGAGCCAGUCUUAGCCUGCAGGCUUUUAGCCAAUAAGAAAACGAGAACAGAGUAUAAUAAAUAAUAAUAAUAUCUCAGUUCUAAACUAUUCUUCCUAGAAGUCUAUAAAAACCUUCGUUAAAAGCCUAUUUAAGCUAAAAACUAACGAGGCUAUUUUCCUUUCUGUGACGUUGUCAGACUUUGAUAGUUAUGUUCAUCGCUCUGAUCUUGUAAAGGAUUUCUCCUCAGUGGCUCAUAGUUCGAUGGCUCUUCGUAUUUAUGACCUAAAUAAAGAAAAGCACAUGUAGAUGCGAGAACUGAUUUUGUAUAGAAUGUAUAUUUCAUUCUUGUAAUAUGGGGACUAAUACACUAAACUAACUUUAUUUACAUUGGAGAAGGCAUGUACAAGCGAUGAUCCUUACUGGACCUCUAGGAAGAACAG